UACGGAGGGGGCUAGCGUUGUUCGGAAUUACUGGGCGUAAAGCGCGCGUAGGCGGCUUUGUAAGUUAGAGGUGAAAGCCCGGAGCUCAACUCCGGAAUUGCCUUUAAGACUGCAUCGCUAGAAUCAUGGAGAGGUUAGUGGAAUUCCGAGUGUAGAGGUGAAAUUCGUAGAUAUUCGGAAGAACACCAGUGGCGAAGGCGACUCACUGGACACGUAUUGACGCUGAGGUGCGAAAGCGUGGGGAGCAAACAGGG
rnacentral:rRNA from 1 species